rnacentral:lncRNA from 1 species
CUCCCUUCCUACUAUUAAUGCAGGCAGCAAUGGAGAAAUGUGCGCAAUUUUUCCAGUCUCUGCACUCGGCAAGCCCAUGGGUGAUGGAUUAAAGAUACCCCUUCUGAAUCGCCCAAGGACCAAAGGGGAAGUUGUAUGAACAUGGCUGUUCAUGUGACCAUGCGGAUGGGGAGCCAUGUCCAGAAAGGUGAAGGACGGGCAGACGAGCCAACAGAUGUGUCCCACCAAAGAGGAUGGACCCCUGCCCUUAUCUUGGGGGCAGGAGGCCACUCUGAAAGAGGAAAAAGACAGACAGAACAGGACUCCAAUCCCAGCUCUCCCUCUUGAUGCCCUUGGCAAGAUGAUUUAUUCCCUGGACCUGGGUUUCUGCAUCUGUGAGAAGCAGCCACACUUUGGGCCAGGAUUACACAAGGUUGAGCCCUCCAUAAAAGCACCCAGUGAAGGGGCAGGUGGGUGCCGAAUCUUCUCCCUGCUCUGCUUGCCAAGCCCCUGGACUGGGAGAUUGCAUUGGCUCUGAGGACACAGAGUGUGUGUGUGUGUGUGUGUGUGACUUAGAUUAGGGAAAGGGGUGUGUGCUUUUCUAAUUCACACAAAGGUUUUGUAGUAACAGCAACUGCCCUGAAAUUGAACCUACCUCGCUGAGUUAUUAUGCUAGACAAAUGUGAAAAUUUAAAUAAAAUGGAG